CUGCAAGCUAUCAUACAAAAUUUGCAAGUCAUUCGAAACCAUCUUCCAAACUUCAGCAUCAAUUGAAAAACUAAAGAUCAAAUAAAGUUUCAAGAAAAAUCUUCAGUCCCUCAUUUUCUAGCAAUAUACACGUAACAAAGACAAGUUAUUUACAUAAAAAUGUUAAAUAAAUAAAAGAAAUAAAACCUCGUCAUUAUCCUCGGACUCCUGGGCACACUGAAUCUUGGACUCGAUGACUCGGAGGAGUGACUCGGAGGAACUCGGCCUUUUAGUGGAAUAGUGAUGAACGGAAACCGAAAACGAUCUCGGGAACAAUUUCCGCAAAAGAUCGCCAUGGGUUUUCACAGCGUCAAAGAGGGCAGAGCAGUGGUGGUGGUACCUUUGACUUCCGGAUGAAGCCCGGAUAGCCAAAGGCACAACUCGUGAAGCUGUUCUCCGGAUUGUGUUAGCGAGUGCCAUUUUUGUUGAGUGAGAUUGAGGUCCUUGAGGGUUUGAAAUGAAAACGGGGGUUUGCAAAAGAGGAGGCUUCUGCUAUUUUAGGGUUUAGGGUUUUAGAAGGGGCUUUUAUAUAUUUUUGGAGGGG
rnacentral:lncRNA from 1 species